ensembl:lncRNA
UUCUGCCCCAGUUGACAGAUGCAGAGAAAACAGAGAAACAAACAGCUGGCUAAGCCUGUUUUAUUAUCAGCUCAAAACUGAGACUGACAGGGAUUUAGGCCAGGUUUGGCUAGGCAUUCAGCACGUGUGUAAACUUGAAGACGGGCAUUGUCCUCUUAUAACAAGUGACACCAUCAGGCUGAAAGUAAGGUACACGCUCCAGCAUCACAGAGAAUUGGGAAUGGGACCUCUCUGCUGCAGCUAUGCUUGAUGCCACCACAUGAACGAGGGCACCCACCUGCAGUCAUGUGCAGAACAUGAACUUUGCUCUUCUAAUGGGGAUGAGCAGGACUCAGCCGGAGACGGCUCCCGAGGCUCUGUAAUCGAAUCUUUCCAUUCUAACAGCAGGUAAACCUGGUGGCUGGCUCUCAGAGCUGCUUGUUGAAUACCACACAGCCUCUUCCACCCUCCUGCAGAAGCUGCCGGCACCAGGGCACUUUCUCACUGGAUAAUAAUGCUCCAGAUUGGGUGUGUUUAUUACAGACACCAUUUCUGAUGGGAAGAUAGUUAUUAAAGGCUGUACGGAGAGCAAGAUCAAUAUUCGGUUUGAUGAUGUCGGACGAAGCGGCCUAAAGGAAUGGUGAGUUUCAAAACACCGCUUUCUGCCAUAUAAAUCUACAUGUUGAAGUGUCAUCUAGAGGUACUAAAUAGGAUGAGGGUAUUGCUGUGACAAGUACUGCAGAAACUCCAGCUUCUGUGACCCAGCAGGACAUGGAAGCAACAGACCCAUUUGCCACAUUCAGCUGCAUUCAGUAGAGAGGCUGAGGCUUGGAGACAUUGAAUAUCUGAAGGCUUUUGAAGAAGAAACAUCACCCUAAUACUUCCACAGCAGGAGGCAGCUGAGCUUCACCUUCAGCUCAGACUCUGCCAAGGAACACCUAAAGGAUGAGCAAAUCAGAUAAAGGAGGGGAGUGCAGGACCAUGGAGUGAUGGAGGACUUAGGGAUGCAAAUUUGUAUGUAACCACCUCUUUCAGUCCCACUACUCACAGGGUGACUUCUUUAUGUAGAACCUGAAUGAUUGCAUGUUAUCUUCAAAUGCAUCUGGACCCCUUACGAGUGAUUGCUAAUAAUAAUAUACAGGUGAACACAGAUGAGAAAUGCAGCCUACAUAAUCCCUAAAGUGGACUCCUGCACUGACCCACUCAAGUACAGAAGCAGAUCAUGAUGAAGAACCAGUGCAGACUGCCUUAUCCUGUGGGGAUACCCAGCCUGAGGGCGAUAAAGAAGGCAAAUCCCAAGCUCUGCUUCCUUAAUCAGAGAGGAAAGAGGUUUUGUGUGCAGACAGUUCUGCUGAUAGGAACAAGGGUGCUCCAAGGUGUCCCUGUGCAGUCUUUGCUUGUGGGACCCAUCACCUCCUUAGAAACAUGGCCGCCUUCUACCACAGGGACAGAGAAAAAGUACCAUUUCAAAUAUGCCCCAUCUGUGGUUCCUAUGUUUGGAAAGCACUGGUGCACCUGUGAAAGGAGCGGAGUGAGCUGCAGGAGCAUUUGAUCUUGUGUAUUGAUCUCCCUGAAGAAAUGAGCCAACCUGCUGCCAACUUGCACUGAUCUGGAUGCUUUGCUCUGUGAUCGACAGCAAGGUAGUGUGCCAGAAAGGUCUGGGUUGUCCGAGCUGGAUUUGUGCCAUGAGAGUCAUGGGCCAGACUUUGCAGCUAGGAUUUGCAGGUGGUUUGUACUUCAGAUUUACCAUUUCCUUAAUACUCGAGGAUGGUGACACAAUCCUUCCUCUCUUUUGGAGAGAUGGCAGGGACGUUUGCACCACAUAUUAUCUUACUGAGAAAGGAGGUGGAAAUCCACUAGCGUGGUAGUACAGAUGAAAAUAUUAUCACAUUUGCUACACAACAUUUCCAUAUACAUUCUGAGGGCAUUUCUGUGGACAACAGAUGGGGGACUCACUGUCAAUAUGAGGAGGGCAGCAGAGAGAUCUUUGAGAUAAUUUGGAAGAGAAUUUGCAGAGAAGGCAAAUGUACCUCCUUCAGCUGGACAAGCUGUCAGAAGUCCUAACAAAGUUCCUCACAUUUUCUCUCUUCGGUGUAUUUUUAUAAGAAGGGAAAAUUGAAGGGAAAAGAAAGUCUCCUCUAAUCCUUACAAAAGUAUUGCUUUAUUGCACAUUCAUGAUAACGUGAUAACUUCUGUUUUCAAGAAAUGAAAUUCCAUAUGAUGGGUUAUUCUGAAAAGUGUUGACAAAUACAAUCCUAAUAUAAACCUUAAAACAAUACAAUUAUUGAUGCAAUGGCAUAUAAUAUCUCAACUUUCUUGAAGUAUUAUGCUUACUAUUAGUUUUUGCGCUUGGUAUUCUAUUAAAAAAUAAAAAAUGACCUCUUUUACCAUCACUGCAUCUAUCUCUCUAUAUUUAUUUGAUGCACAUCACAUGCUGCUGUCCAGAGAGCCUCUCCUCCAUUUCCAAAGUCAUCUCUCUCCACUGGCUUACAUCAUUUGGUCUUGGUGCACUGUCUCCGUUGGAAAAUUUGAACAACCUUUUCAAAACCACACACACGUUCCUUACCAGCUGCCUUUGUGAAUGGAGCCUUUUCCAGAAAAAUGUGACCUCACUUGGAAAUGACGCAAAGCUUUGGUUAGCACUGCAGAGUCUGAGCUGGUAAGACCUACCUGCUGAUACGGUG